CCGCACGGGUGAGUAACACGUAUCCAACCUGCCGUCUACUCUUGGACAGCCUUCUGAAAGGAAGAUUAAUACAAGAUGGCAUCAUGAGUCCGCAUGUUCACAUGAUUAAAGGUAUUCCGGUAGACGAUGGGGAUGCGUUCCAUUAGAUAGUAGGCGGGGUAACGGCCCACCUAGUCUUCGAUGGAUAGGGGUUCUGAGAGGAAGGUCCCCCACAUUGGAACUGAGACACGGCCAA
rnacentral:rRNA from 1 species